UGCUCUGGUGGCCCAGUGAGUAAAGCGUCCGCCUCGGAUGCGGGAGUUCUUGGGUUCUAUCCCCGCUCGAGUCA